AACGAACGCUGGCGGCGUGCCUAACACAUGCAAGUCGAGCGAUUCACUUCGGUGAAGAGCGGCGGACGGGUGAGUAACGCGUGGGUAACCUGCCUCAUACACAUGGAUAACAUACCGAAAGGUAUGCUAAUACAAGAUGAUAUAAGAGAUUCGCAUGGAUUUCUUAUCAAAGCUCCGGCGGUAUGAGAUGGACCCGCGUCUGAUUAGCUAUUUGGUAAGGUAACGGCUUACCAAGGCGACGAUCAGUAGCCGACCUGAGAGGGUGAUCGGCCACAUUGGAACUGAGACACGGUCCAAACUCCUACGGGAGGCAGCAGUGGGGAAUAUUGCACAAUGGGCGAAAGCCUGAUGCAGCAACGCCGCGUGAGCGAUGAAGGCCUUCGGGUCGUAAAGCUCUGUCCUCAAGGAAGAUAAUGACGGUACUUGAGGAGGAAGCCCCGGCUAACUACGUGCCAGCAGCCGCCGUAAAAC
rnacentral:rRNA from 1 species